UUUGACGUCUUACAUUGUGCUAAGAAGGUUUCCUAAAUUGGAUGUGAAAAAUGAUUUAUUAAUUUAUUUAUUUAUCAUUGAUCAUUUGAUUUCUGGUACUUUGCCGUUAAGAACUGUCGCAUCAAUGUCCUCUUCUUUCGGCAGACAAGGCAUGAAACAGUGCAAUUGCAGAAAUAAUGAAAAAGGACAAUGUGUGUCUAACAAAUGUCAUUGUCAAAAAGCUAACGUUUUAUGUAAUUCCAGAUGUCACAGUUCUCUGACAUGUUGCAAUAAAUGAACAUUUUUUA